CCGAAUAUUGUUGCCCGUCACCAGCGAUGGAAAUCGAGACUGCCACUAGCCAUCACCAAUUUUACCGCUUUGCGCUGUCAGCAGUGCCUCCUUUCUCCUUCCCUCUUUCGUGUAUCCCAUUUUCUUUCUCUUCUCCUUGGAUUUCAAUCAAUAGCCCAGAAAAUGAUUAAAGAUUGUCGCCGCUGUAGUUGACGCCACCGAAAAGCCUCCAAAAUCCUUUCAUUUUU
rnacentral:lncRNA from 1 species